UACGGAGGGGGCUAGCGUUGUUCGGAAUUACUGGGCGUAAAGCGCGCGUAGGCGGACCUGCAAGUCGGGGGUGAAAGCCCGAGGCUCAACCUCGGAACUGCCUUCGAUACUGCGGGUCUCGAGUCCGGGAGAGGUGAGUGGAAUUCCUAGUGUAGAGGUGAAAUUCGUAGAUAUUAGGAAGAACACCAGUGGCGAAGGCGGCUCACUGGCCCGGUGCUGACGCUGAGGCGCGAAAGCGUGGGGAGCAAACAGG
rnacentral:rRNA from 1 species